GGGGAGUUCUGCUAGCUUGGUAGGCUACCACCCUCGGGCGGUGGUGACUUGGGUUCAAAUCCCAAACUCCCCG
rnacentral:tRNA from 1 species